rnacentral:tRNA from 1 species
GAUUGGCAACCUGAGGACUUCUAAGCCUAAGGUCGUAGGUUCGAAUCCUACUCGGGGCGCCA